rnacentral:lncRNA from 1 species
GACCACCCCAAAUGGACUCACAGGCAUGCAGACACUUUGAACUCACAGACUCACAGGCAUGCAGACACAACAGGCCAGAUGGAGGCCACACCUGAGCCAGAGAUACACAGGAACACUCUUGGAUGCAGGACGCUCACAGUCCCCUCCUGGACACACAGCUUCGUGGGCUAAAUAAAUGCAUCGUCCUUUCUUCUGGAAUAUUGUCCCAGGAGGAAAUGUUGGAGCCCAGUGCUGGAAGGCUAGCAAUCAAGGAUGCCCCAAGGAGAGCAAGUUUUAUUUUUAGAAGGUGCUGGUGACUAGCUUUUCAUACUUGCUAUUUGCAGUAGCUCAGGGCUCUCUCCCAAAUGCAAAGCAUUCCUUGUCCUGUUCUGUCUCCUCCUGUUAGAUUUCAACCCUCUCUGCUUCUAGAUGAAGCGCCCCAGCUCAAGGACGGGCCCUCUCAGAAAGCUGCAGGAUAUAACAUUUUCUUUUCCUUUUGAUUUUUUUCUCUUUCUGUUGAAGAGAGACAAACGG